CAGAAACUGCAGGACACCAUGGUCUGUCAAACUGCUGGAUAACUGCUAAUCCCCAGAAACAGAGAGGAAUUGCAGCCCAAAUGGGGAGAGGUGCAUAACACCCCCUGUGUGACCCUGCUGCAGUCACCCGGGCAAGAUCAGCCUGAGUGCAGCACAGCACAUUGGUCUUGGUCCACUUCCAUAAGAGCAGCUGAACAGGAUCCCGCAGGACAGCUCCAUAGAAAGGGUUCCAAGCCCAUCUCCCUCAGCAUGAGACUGAGCACUGGGAUUUCAGAGUGCUGCUGGGAUCACCAGGUGACACAGAAAACCACACGGGUGACUCCAGCAGCUGGCAGAAGGACUUAGCAACUCAGGCAAAACUGCCAGCCCUGAGACAGGGGAGACAGUGCUGGUUUUGGAGGAUGGUGAGAAUUACCUGCAACUGUUAACUGCUUCAAGAUGAUAAAACCUAAUCUGCUUUCUCCUCUGUUCUUUCCAUAAGGCUUCAGAUGCUGUUCAGCCCUUGCAAAAGAUACAACUUUGGACAAUGGGGGAAACCCAAGCAUUUGCUGCUGAACAAUGGCAUCUAUUCAAG
rnacentral:lncRNA from 1 species